GCUUGCAAGUUGACAUUUGCAAAGAAAGAGCACUUUGAAAGUAGGAGACCUGGAUUCCAAUCUGGUCUUUACUUUUUACCGCCUGUGUGAGCUUGGACAAGUCGCUUCACCUCUCUGUAAAAGGAAAGUUAUUCUAGCUUUAAACAUGGCCUCAGGCAUUUACUAGCUAUGUGAGCAAGUCACAUAACUGCUUACUCCCUAAGUUUACUCAACUGUAAAAUGGGAUAGAACCUACAUUGUUAUUAGGAUCAAGUGAAAUAACAGCAAAGCAUUUAUCACAGGUCCUGGCACAUAGUAGGUGCGUAAUAAAUGCUUGCUCCCUAAAUGCAUGAUCUUGUUAGUGACUGGGGAGGGAGGUGUUGCUGGGGUAAGAGUUAUGAGUCACAGUAUUUCAAGGUAGUAGGGGAUUCAGAGAUCAUCUGUUGUCCUUUCACCUUCAGUAUUGGUGCAGGAAACCCCACUACAACUCCUCUAGCAGAGGUAAUUGGGAGAACCUUAGGAAAAUCAUUUUGGCAACAAUAUAGAGGACAGAUCAAAGUGAAGAGAGAGACCAGUUGGAAUGCUAUUAAUAAUCCACGUGAGAGGUUAAUAGCUAUAUGGGGGAAAAGAGGAAGAUGAAAGAAAAGUCAGGACUGAGCUCAGGAAAGAUGAGAUCAUGAUCACUGCCAACAGAAGUAAGACAGAGCUGUUCGGUUUUUAUAUUGUUUUUGUUUUCUUUCCCAAGGAAAAUGACUCUCACACUGGAAAUGACAAAACAAAAAUGAUUUACAAUGAACUCACACCCAAGAUAAAGAGAUAAUAAUAAGAGAGCACCUAACUGAACUUAAUGAAUUCAAGUUACCUGCCCAGAUAAACAAAGUACAAAUGUCUAAUCAUCACAAAAGGAAAGAUUAUAUAAUUGGCAUAUUAUAGACUAGGAAGCUUGAUCUCAAUUUCCUGCAAAAUUCCUUUUAAAAAAUUAUUUAAUAUUCUUUUCUUAAAUCUUGAGUUCCAAAUUCUUUCCCUUCC